rnacentral:rRNA from 1 species
CCUACGGGAGGCAGCAGUGAGGAAUAUUGGUCAAUGGACGAGAGUCUGAACCAGCCAAGUAGCGUGAAGGAUGACUGCCCUAUGGGUUGUAAACUUCUUUUAUAUGGGAAUAAACUGUUCCACGUGUGGGCUUUUGUAUGUACCAUAUGAAUAAGGAUCGGCUAACUCCGUGCCAGCAGCCGCGGUAAUACGGAGGAUCCGAGCGUUAUCCGGAUUUAUUGGGUUUAAAGGGAGCGUAGGUGGAUUGUUAAGUCAGUUGUGAAAGUUUGCGGCUCAACCGUAAAAUUGCAGUUGAAACUGGCAGUCUUGAGUACAGUAGAGGUGGGCGGAAUUCGUGGUGUAGCGGUGAAAUGCUUAGAUAUCACGAAGAACUCCGAUUGCGAAGGCAGCUCACUGGACUGCAACUCACACUGAGGCUCGAAAGUGUGGGUAUCAAACAGGAUUAGAUACCCCUGUAGUC